rnacentral:lncRNA from 1 species
UGCCCAAUACUAAUAGUUUUUUUUAAUGUAAUACUUUAUGCACUGCAUGUAGUACAAUAAAAUUGAUAUAGAAUGCACCGUGCCAUCUCAUUGGAUCACGUAGCUCCCACUUUUCAAUGCCCAUUAAAUAUCUGCAGUUUUAUUUUUUGAUUUGAAAUUUUGAAUGACAAAAAUGAAUCUCUGUUCUGAAAAAAUUAUGACA